AUACAUUUAGAACAUUCUUUAAAGAAAGUAAAACAUAUCGUUUAUCGUUAUGUCAACCAAUUUAAAUUUACCGGAACUGUAUUACCACGAAACAUCAUACAAAAUUAUAAUUAUAUCUCUCCUAAUUUUCGCGUCUAUAACACUCUAUCUUAUUGCUGGUUUUCUGGGCACAUAUAUACAGGAAUUAAAUUACGAAGGAUUAGAAAAUGUCUCAAAUCCGAUACUCGAUUAGAAAGGCUGAUAUCGAAUCAGGAUGCAACACCAAUCCAAUUAUUGUGACACCGGCCCCCAAGUUAGAAAUAGGAGAAUGUUGUAAAAUCAUGCUUGUAUGCUCUUUUGUGAUUGGAGCUCCAGCAGUCGGAAUUCUCAUGCCUUACGCUAUAAUUACUUUUUUGGGUUUAAAAUUUUAGCACAUGGGUUUUCCGCGGCUGUAUAUUUUUACUAAUUGGUAUAGAAAACAAAAUGAAGAUAUAUGCAUCCUAACUCAUAUAUUUUUUAGUUUUAUGAAAAAUUGAUUGUAUGUACUCUAAUGUGAAUCUUAAGGUUGUGGUACUUUGACUGUGAAAAAAUAAACUUCUUUAAAUUAAUAAUA